UCAAAAGCAGCCUGCAGAAAUACUGGAACACUGAGCUCUACACAGCUGCUACUACAGAGAGAAAAAAUAUCACCUGCAAAAGCCACAAAGUUGUCUCUUCAGGGAUGAGACAGUCACCAAGUGAGCAAGCAAAACUGAAGUCAGUACUGAAUGCAACUAAUUGAGUUUAUCCUUGGAGGCUAAUUAAAUUUUAGCAAUUCUAAAGAAA